rnacentral:rRNA from 1 species
ACGAACGCUGGCGGCGCGCCUAAUACAUGCAAGUCGAGCGAGAAGACGUAGCAAUACGUUUGUAAAGCGGCGAACGGGUGAGGAAUACAUGGGUAACCUACCCUCGAGUGGGGAAUAACUAGCCGAAAGGUUAGCUAAUACCGCGUACGCUCCUUGGACUUCGGUUCAGGGAGGAAAGCGAUACCGUGGGUAUCGCGCUCUUGGAUGGGCUCAUGUCCUAUCAGCUUGUUGGUGAGGAACGGCUCACCAAGGCUUCGACGGGUAGCUGGUCUGAGAGGACGAUCAGCCACACUGGCACUGCGACACGGGCCAGACUCCUACGGGAGGCAGCAGUAAGGAAUAUUGCGCAAUGGGCGGAAGCCUGACGCAGCGACGCCGCGUGGGGGAUGAAGGUCUUCGGAUUGUAAACCCC